rnacentral:misc_RNA from 1 species
AAGGGAAAAGAAGAAGAGAGAGGAAAGAUCAGAGACCCCAAAAUCGAAUGAAGCUGUUACGAAAUUUGACGGGAGUCUCAAUUCCAUGAGGCAUUAACUCAAGCCUUCAUAAGGGGAGUGAGUGCUACCGUGGAUAACAGAUUUUAACAGAGUUCUGGAUCACGUUGAGAAACUAUCAAGGUCACCUUUCACUGCACGGACACUUUGGCUGCUCUCGUGUGGUUUUGUAUUCUGCCGUAUAAAAGGAUCCAGA